rnacentral:rRNA from 1 species
GACGAACGCUGGCGGCGUGCUUAACACAUGCAAGUCGAACGGAAAGGCCCUGCUUUUGUGGGGUGCUCGAGUGGCGAACGGGUGAGUAACACGUGAGUAACCUGCCCUUGACUUUGGGAUAACUUCAGGAAACUGGGGCUAAUACCGGAUAGGAGCUCCUGCUGCAUGGUGGGGGUUGGAAAGUUUCGGCGGUUGGGGAUGGACUCGCGGCUUAUCAGCUUGUUGGUGGGGUAGUGGCUCACCAAGGCUUUGACGGGUAGCCGGCCUGAGAGGGUGACCGGCCACAUUGGGACUGAGAUAUGGCCCAGACUCCUACGGGAGGCAGCAGUGGGGAAUAUUGCACAAUGGGCGGAAGCCUGAUGCAGCAACGCCGCGUGCGGGAUGACGGCCUUCGGGUUGUAAACCGCUUUCGCCUGUGACGAAGCGUGAGUGACGGUAAUGGGUAAAGAAGCACCGGCUAACUACGUG